CUUGUACUCCCUCUGUCCAAAAAUACUUGUCACUGAAAUGGAUGUAUCUAGAUGUAUUUUAGUUCUAGACACAUCCAUUUUGUUGACAAGUAAUUCCGGACGGAGGGAGUACUUG
rfam:Triticum aestivum genome assembly, contig: Triticum_aestivum_CS42_TGACv1_scaffold_404517_5BL